GCCUCUGUGGCGUAGUGGUAGCACGCUCAUCCCAGGUGUGGAUGAAACGCGGGUUCGAUUUCCGCCUGAGGCC